CCUACGGGAGGCUGCAGUCGAGAAUCAUUCACAAUGGGGGAAACCCUGAUGGAGCGACGCCGCGUGGGGGAAUGAAGGUCUUCGGAUUGUAAACUCCUGUCAUGUGGGAGCAAAUUAAAAAGAUAGUACCACAAGAGGAAGAGACGGCUAACACUGUGCCAGCAGCCGCGGUAAUACAGAGGUCUCAAGCGUUGUUCGGAAUCACUGGGCGUAAAGCGUGCGUAGGCUGUUUCGUAAGUCGGGUGUGAAAGGCGCGGGCUCAACCCGCGGACGGCACAUGAUACUGUGCGACUAGAGUGAUGGAGGGGGAGCCGGAAUUCUCGGUGUAGCAGUGAAAUGCUUAGAUAUCGAGAGGAACACUCGUGGCGAAGGCGGGUUCCUGGACAUUAACUGACGCUGAGGCACGAAAGCCAGGGGAGCGAAAGGGAUUAGAUACCCCUGUAGUC
rnacentral:rRNA from 1 species